AUGAUGGACUAUAGGACAGAACUGCUGCUUUUAACUAUCUGCUGGGCAGGUGUUGAUGGUCAGAUUUUGACAGAAUCUGAACCAGCAGUUAAAAAGCCUGGAGAAACCCACAAACUGACCUGUACAGCUUCUGGGUUCACACUCAGCAGCUACUGGAUGAACUGGAUCAGACAGGCUACUGGAAAAGGACUGGAGUGGAUUUCCACUGUCAGAAAUGACGGUGGCAGCAGUUACUACUCUCAGUCAGUUCAAGGCCGAUUCAACAUCUCCAGAGACAACAGCAGAGAGCAGCUGUAUCUGCAGAUGAACAGUCUGAAGACUGAAGAUUCUGCUGUUUAAUAUUGUGCUCGAG